AUAUUCAGGCAUCACUGAUUCCAUGUGGGGGGGAAAAAACAGGCAGGCCCACCACAGUCGCUGGCAGUGCACACAAAAAAAAUACCAGACUGGAGAUGGGGACUAACCAGAGGAAAGCACUUUGAUGACAAUCCAAGUAUUUCUCAAGAGGAAUCACUUUUUGAACAUUGUUUUUUUAAAACAUUUCCUUUCAUGCUGAAGUGUAAUAUGCGCUAUGCUGCAUAUUGAGAAUAGUCUAUGUAAAAACAUCCGUGCAAAAUGUGAGUCAUGGGGAAAAGCUGUCUGUUUGCCCAAGUGUGAUGCAGAUGUGGUUGAGUUUAAGAUUUGCUGCUGAGAGAAGGCAAAAAUCAUGAAAAAAAAAAAAAAAAAAGAAACUGCUUUGCUAGCAGGAAAUAUGGUCAAAAAAUCUGGUGGAGGACUGACCUCGCAGCUGUCACCCUACUAGACUGAAAUGCCCCUGAGCAGGGCAUGAAACAAACUGCUGCAGAUCGACUCUGAGGCCAAGAAGACAAGGCUGCGCUGUUUGGUACAUUGAAGCUGCCAGCUGUAUGAGCACAGACACACGGCCCGUAACCCUAGGCCACUGCCACUGCUGUAAAUAGUAAAGUAUUUUAGUAAACAUGCCUCG